rnacentral:rRNA from 1 species
UACGUAGGGUGCGAGCGUUGUCCGGAAUUAUUGGGCGUAAAGAGCUCGUAGGCGGUUUGUCGCGUCUGCCGUGAAAGUCCGGGGCUCAACUCCGGAUCUGCGGUGGGUACGGGCAGACUAGAGUGUGGUAGGGGAGAUCGGAAUUCCUGGUGUAGCGGUGAAAUGCGCAGAUAUCAGGAGGAACACCGGUGGCGAAGGCGGAUCUCUGGGCCUUACCUGACACUGAGGAGCGAAAAGCGUGGGGAGCGAAACAGG